AUCCAGACGACGAGUCCCAAAUAGGACGAAGCGCGCGUCCUGGAU
rnacentral:hammerhead_ribozyme from 1 species